AGCUCCAAUAGCGUAUAUUAAAGUUGUUGCAGUUAAAAAGCUCGUAGUUGGAUUUGUGGUUCGUCCUGCCGGCUGGGUCUUUGACUUUUGCUGUGCUGGUCGUCCAUCCUUGGGUGGAAUCUGUGUGGCAUUAGGUUGUCGCGCAGGGGAUGCCCAUCGUUUACUGUGAAAAAAUUAGAGUGUUCAAAGCAGGCUUAUGCCGUUGAAUAUAUUAGCAUGGAAUAAUGAUAUAGGACCUUGGUACUAUUUUGUUGGUUUACGCACUGAGGUAAUGAUUAAUAGGGACAGUUGGGGGUAUUCGUAUUCCAUUGUAAGAGGUGAAAUUCUUGGAUUUUUGGAAGACGAACUACUGCGAAAGCAUUUACCAAGGAUGUUUUCAUUAAUCAAGAACGAAAGUAGG
rnacentral:rRNA from 1 species